rnacentral:sRNA from 1 species
GGACUGCCCGGGGCCGCGCGCCGGGAACCUCGCGGGGCUGGCGGGCGCCGCACCCCCUCCCUGGCCGCCUGCGCCCCGGGGAGGCCGCCCGCGCGCGACGGGACCGGCAGCAUGAGCAGCGGCUACAGCAGCCUGGAGGAGGACGCCGAGGACUUCUUCUUCACCGCCAGGACCUCCUUCUUCAGGAGAGCGCCCCAGGGCAAGCCCCGCUCCGGCCAGCAACACGCCGUGGGAAGCACGAGUUGGGAAAAAAUGGGAAGGGAACUUGUGCCAGUUUCGCCAGCCGUAGCCGUGUUUUUUGGGAGGCCUUCCCGAAACGGGGCACGUCGGCUGGACUGAGGAGCCCGGUGCUAGAACCCGCGGCCUCCUGGCACUAGGAGCCGCACCAAGGAGCCGGGCCAACCCGGCCACGCUCACAUCAGAUUACAGAAGAU